ACCUCGGUGGUAUAGUGUAGCAUGCGUCCUUGAUAUGGAUGAAACGCGGGUUCGACUCCCGCCUGAGGUC